rnacentral:lncRNA from 1 species
AUUAUGAUUGAGCACUUGGAAAUGACAGACAAAUAUGAAGCUUCUACGUGAUGUCAUCUAAUAGCAUAUAAUUCAUAUUUUCUAUUUUUUAGGAAAUAAUAUAAACAAAAGAAAGGAGUACCCAUAGGAGGUCUGGUGCCAUAGCAGCAGUGAUAGUAGAACUGGUUGUCAGACAUCAGGAGGCCCAAGUAUUAGAGAAAUUUAUGUAUAAUAUCAGACUAUACAUAUGAAAUAUUGAUGACAUAUGUAUUAUAUGGAAAAUUAAGCAUAAGAUGACUGAAAUAGUGCAAUCUGUAACAGAUGAGAAUCUGGGUCUAUGCUUAAAAGUAGAACAGCUGGAAGAAAGCAUUUCUUAUUAUUUAGAUGUAUAUGUAGCAUUAAAAAAUGGGAAACAUUUCAUAAGUAUAUACAAAAUCCAACAUACAAAUAAUGAUUAUAUCAGCAUGGUCCCAAGAUCUUAUAAAAUAUCAAUUAGCAUUAUUUAGGGCUCUUUUCCAUAGGCGACAUACCACUAUAUGAAACAAGAAGACAGAGAUAAAAAAUACCAAUAUAUAAUUAUGUAAGGUCAAAAAUAUGGAUAUAAGUAUAAGACAAUGAGAAGUGUAGGUGUAUAAUAAGAUUACUAAAUCCAUGAACAAUAGUAACAUAAUGACAUCACAGUUUAACAAUCAGCCCUUCCAAAACCAAUAGUUCUAUACUUUUGUAUAUGAUCCAGUAGUAGACAAAAUCAUUAAAAAAACUGCCAAGAACAAUCCAUAUAAGCUUGUUUAUAAAAGAAAAAAUACUAUCUUCUCAAGUCUAAGGAAUGAUAUGGACCAAGUGAGCAUCAUGAGGAAGUCAGGGAUAUACUCAAUUCCAUUAUAUAACAGCUCUCUUUGAACACCUGAGGAAUAUGUAGAUAGAACCAAAAGAUAUCUAAACACUAGGAUUGAAGAACAUAAAACAGCCAUAAGAAUUGAUAAGCAAAAUACUGCAUUAGCUAUUAAGUCAUAUGAAGACGACAUCACUAUAUUUUGGAACAAUAUGAGUAU